GAGUCAAAGAGGGUGGGUGACUGGUUUACUGCAAACAACCCAGUGUUAUUUUUUUUAAACCCUGACAACGGUACAGGCUGGUCAGAAAAACAGAAAGUGCCAAGUAGUAGAGAUUGUCUCUAUUUCAGUGAUGUCAAUCAUUUAGCCUGAAGUGCAGCAUUCCCCGUCACUGACUGACUGCAUUCUGAAGGCAGGUGAGCCAGUUUUGUUUUUCCCAUGAACAUGGUCAUGACUGUGUUAUCUUUUGUGAUGAGGCAGCAUCAAUGAUUAAUUUAUUUAUUGUUCUUACUUUCAAGGCCAAUCGCCGCUGGUUAAAUGUUUUGACGCGUGUGACGCGUAUCUUGAAACUAAAGUUAUGAUUAUUCCCAACAACGUACAAGACGUCACCGGUGUCAGUUCUUGUUUACAAGCUGGUCAGUAGCUCUUCUAAAGCCACUCCUCUGUGCACAGUUUGCAUAUGAGCCUUCAUCCCUCCGGGACUAUCUCCUGCUCAACACAUGGUAACACAACAGGUGCCUUGUAUCCAGAGCUGUACAGCAGUGUAUACUUUAUGUGUGUUUUCAUCCAUAGUGGACAUACUUGUCUAAAAUAUCACAUAUCCAGUGUGUUUUAGUUUUAAUUGUUUAAAGUGUUUUCAGUGUAAAGAGUUCAGAGACGUGUCAGACUACUUGUGGCUCACGUGUGUGUGUGUGUAGAUUGUUGCCAUAGUUGUGACCCCUUGGGAGGUCAUUAGCUGAUGUACCUUUAAGUUUAGCGCUGUACUCCGUCUUGUCAGACUGACUCCUCCUCACCAGCGUCCCCAGGUUGAAGUCACCUUUGGCCAUGUCAUCAGCCACUAUGGUGUCCGUCUUUCUCCUCUCCAGGUAACGCAGGAACACAGGCCGGUUCCUCCUCUUUAUCACCUUGUCCUUCUCUUUUUCCUUUUCCUUCUCACCCCCAAUGGCCUCCUUGGGAUCCAUGGUGAGCCCUGUGCCUCCAGACCAGUCAAGGAGAAGAGACGGGGGGCAAGAGAAGAGGGGACAGGAGAAAGAACGGAGAGCGACAGGGAGAGAAAAGAGAGCCUGGGAAGUGCAACAGGUGUAACGUGCACUGGCUGCCUGCUCUGCACAGAAUCAUAGUCUUUCUAGUAAUAACCCAUAAAGUGGCACUCGUGAAAUCCCCAAACUAGUUUGACUGGUAAGUCACUGACACAUGAUGAUUUCUGGUCAUGGCAACCAGAUACUGUGAGUCCCAGUCAGAACAAUGAAUGGAUGCAUUUCCUCCCUAUUGAAGCUCAGGUCAUGAGGGCUCACACUGUGUUCUCCGAUCCCUGUGUAGUGUGCUCACACAGCACACCUGUUUAACUACCACAUGCAUGUCUCACAGCGACAUAACAGCUGCUCCACACAAGACUAUAUCAAACAUUAGCAACAUUAUACAUUCAAUAAAAACAGACAGUAUCCAUUAUUAUUACU